rnacentral:rRNA from 1 species
AGAGUUUGAUCCUGGCUCAGGACGAACGCUGGCGGCGUGCUUAACACAUGCAAGUCGAACGAGACGAUUGAAAGCUUGCUUUUGAAAGUCGAGUGGCAAACGGGUGAGUAACGCGUAGACAACCUGCCGUAAAGAUGGGGACAACAGUCCGAAAGGACUGCUAAUACCGAAUGUUGUGGAACUUCCGCAUGGGAGCUCCACUAAAGAUGGCCUCUACUUGUAAGCUAUCGCUUUACGAUGGGUCUGCGUCUGAUUAGCUAGUUGGUGGGGUAACGGCUUACCAAGGCGACGAUCAGUAGCCGGUCUGAGAGGAUGAACGGCCACAUUGGAACUGAGACACGGUCCAGACUCCUACGGGAGGCAGCAGUGGGGAAUCUUCCGCAAUGGGCGCAAGCCUGACGGAGCAACGCCGCGUGAGUGAAGAAGGGUUUCGACU